rnacentral:ncRNA from 2 species
GAAUCAAAAGCAGGGAGCUUGUGAUACAGGCUGAGAGGAAGUUAGCGUGAACUUCGACCCGUUAACCUGAUUUGGAUAAUGCCAACGAAGGGACUCUAUUUCCGUUACGA